rnacentral:lncRNA from 1 species
GUCAGGUUUGCGGGUCAGAGCGUUGCUGCUCUAUUUUUGGUAAAAGCAGAUUCACCUGCGCACCUCUGGACACCUGUGCUACCAAAUCACUAAACGCUGCGAGAAGAUUGUGGUGCUUUGAGAGGAGAGGCUGCUGCUCUGCAGGAUGUUAGAUCUGUAGCUUUCGGUUGCCAUGGCAGCACCUGACAGGUUUCUUCCAAUGAGCAUAAAAUGAAGCUCCGCCCUCAUCCAACCUGAACCAGGAAGAACUCCACAGGUGAGAAACCAGGAAGUCAAAUACUUCUCUUUUUAAAUUAAAUUAGAAUUUAAAUGUAAAUCUUGAAUUAAUGUUGAUUUC